rnacentral:rRNA from 1 species
AUUGAACGCUGGCGGCAGGCUUAACACAUGCAAGUCGAGCGGAGAUGAGGUGCUUGCACCUUAUCUUAGCGGCGGACGGGUGAGUAAUGCUUAGGAAUCUGCCAUUUAGUGGGGGACAACAUUCCGAAAGGAAUGCUAAUACCGCAUACGCCCUACGGGGGAAAGCAGGGGAUCUUCGGACCUUGCGCUAAUAGAUGAGCCUAAGUCGGAUUAGCUAGUUGGUGGGGUAAAGGCCUACCAAGGCGACGAUCUGUAGCGGGUCUGAGAGGAUGAUCCGCCACACUGGGACUGAGACACGGCCCAGACUCCUACGGGAGGCAGCAGUGGGGAAUAUUGGACAAUGGGCGGAAGCCUGAUCCAGCCAUGCCGCGUGUGUGAAGAAGGCCUUUUGGUUGUAAAGCACUUUAAGCGAGGAGGAGGCUACCUGGAUUAAUACUCUAGGAUAGUGGACGUUACUCGCAGAAUAAGCACCGGCUAACUCUGUGCCAGCCGCCGCCGUAAGAC